UGCGCAGGCGGAACUUUAAGUCAGUGGUGAAAUCUUGCCGCUUAACGGUAAAAUUGCCAUUGAUACUGAAGUUCUUGAAUAUGGUUGAGGUAGGCGGAAUGUGUUGUGUAGCGGUGAAAUGCAUAGAUAUGACACAGAACUCCGACUGCGAAGGCAGCUUACUAAACCAUUAUUGACGCUGAGGCACGAAAGCGUGGGGAGCGAACAGGAUUAGAUACCCUGGUAGUCC
rnacentral:rRNA from 1 species